GUGUUUAUAAAAAAGAGAGAUGGUUUGCAUCUUCCACCACAAGGAUGGAAACAACCUUUGGGUUUUACCUGUUACCACACAUUCAUUCAAGGCAUUCCACCUCUCUGGGAUUAGCAAAGGAUGUGGUGUUGUGAAUGGUGGUUCUU
rfam:Solanum tuberosum cultivar DM 1-3 516 R44 scf00120_34, whole genome shotgun sequence.